UACGGAGGGUGCAAGCGUUAUCCGGAUUCACUGGGGUUAAAGGGUGCGUAGGUGGCUUGGUAAGUCAGUGGUGAAAGCCCGGAGCUCAACUCCGGAACUGCCAUUGAUACUGCUUAGCUUGAAUCAGGUCGAGGUGGAUGGAAUAUUACAUGUAGCGGUGAAAUGCUUAGAUAUGUAAUAGAACACCGAUUGCGAAGGCAGUUCACUAGGCCUGUAUUGACACUGAGGCACGAAAGCGUGGGGAUCAAACAGG
rnacentral:rRNA from 1 species